AGGGAGGAUGGUGGAUUUUCCAGGCUACAAUCUGUCUGGUGCAGUCGCCUCCUUCCUAUUCAUCCUGCUGACAAUGAAGCAGUCAACUUUAGAGUCAUUGGCCCUGCUCAUCCUAUCCUGGCCGGGGUUGGGGAAGAUGCCCUGUUAACCUGCCAGCUACUCCCCAAGAGGACCACAAUGCACGUGGAGGUGAGGUGGUACCGCUCAGAGCCCAGCACACCUGUGUUUGUGCACAGGGAUGGAGUGGAGGUGACUGAGAUGCAGAUGGAGGAGUACAGAGGCUGGGUAGAGUGGAUAGAGAAUGGCAUUGCAAAGGGAAAUGUGGCACUGA
rnacentral:lncRNA from 1 species